rnacentral:rRNA from 1 species
AUGGUGGCGCGAUUCCGUGAGCCUAUCGUCAGGAUCCUGGGGGCCGGCCUCAGCGUCGGCCAGGUGGCUGCCGUUGCGCACGCCAAGGACGCCGCCAGCGUCACCGUCGACGAGGCGCGCGUCCGCGUCCGGGCCUGCAGCGACUGGAUCAUCCACUCGGUGGCAAGCGGCGGUGACAUCUACGGCGUCACCACGGGCUUCGGUGGCACCUCCCACCGUCCCACAAAAGAUGGGCACGGCCUCCAGGUCGAGCUUGUCAGAGUUAUUUAUUCAUUAUUGUCUGCAUUUUCCUUCGUAGAUGUCACCGAAGCCUGUGGUGACGCCGUAGAUGUCACCGCCGUUUGCCACCGAGUGGACGAUCCAGUCGAUGCAGGCCUGGACGCGGACGCGCGCCUCGUCGACGGUGACGCUGGCGGCGUCCUUGGCGUGUGCAACGGCAGCCACCUGACCGACGCUGAGGCCGGCCCCCAGGAUCCUGACGACAGGCUCACGGAAUCGCGCCACCAUGCGCUUGACCUCGUCGAGGUGGCUGCCGUUCUGGCCUCCUCCCUCUCUCACCCCCGCGCCGCCACCCCCAAGGACGGCUCGGGUGGCGCCGCCGUCCCCCGCCUCUUACCCCCUCCCCUCGCUCCUCCCCCCGCCGCCGCCGGCCAGAUCCGCCAGGGCAAAGCCCUUGCGGUGGCUGGCGGCGGGGGCUUCUUCCUCCUCCCGUCGGAUCUGGGCGACAUGGGGUGGCCCGUCCGUCGGAGGCGUCAGGCGCACGUGGGGCCUGGCGGCGCUGUGGCGGUGGCUCCGGUCGGCGUCGUGCCACGGCUCGGCGGCGUCCUGGCGGCUACAGCCCGCAACGCGGUGGCUGCGUGCCCGUGGCCGCGUCCUGGAUCAGAUCUGGGCGUCGGUGGGUUGAGGGCGGCUCGGGAGGACCUCCGUCGGUCUUCUCCAGCUCCGGUUGGUUCUCUGGGGGCGGAUGGUGGCGGCGGAGCUGAGGCUUCGGGUGGUUGCGUGCCCGGCCUGGUCUCAUGCCUGGAUUCCAGCGGGCGGCGCGGGGUGGGGCAGUGGCCCGUCUUGGUUGCUGUUGCGGGCGUGGGCGGCCGCGGUGUUGUAUGGUCCAACAGCAACUGUCCGGCGGUGCGGAGGCUACACGGUGGUUCGCAAGCUCUGCACGCGGCGAAGGCUGGCUUUUCUUCGGCGUCGACUCGUUUGCGGUCGGACUGUGUCGACCUUUGCGUCAUCUCCUCGUCGUCCGGGCUCUACUUCUGUUGA